AAUCAGGAUCAAAGAUGCAGCUGCUUCCUAGUUAAGCAGCCGUCAAAAAAGAGCCGAAAGUGACAGUUUCCCUGGACAGCCACUGUUCUAUUGUCCGUAACUGAUUUAGGACCUUCUGGGAAAACACAGCU